rfam:Triticum aestivum genome assembly, contig: Triticum_aestivum_CS42_TGACv1_scaffold_571189_7AS
UAUGUACUCCCUCCGUCCGGAAAUACUUGUCCUCAAAAUGGAUAAAAAGGAAUGUAUCUACACAUAGUUUGAGAUACAUCUCCCUUUAUCCAUUUUGAUGACAAGUAUUUUCAGACGGAGGGAGUAAUUU